rnacentral:lncRNA from 1 species
AUUGACUUGAUUGCCUUAUUAGUAUGAGUAGCCCAUAAUAAUUAACACAGAACACAACCAAUUUCAAGCUAAUCAAGCCGUGUGGAGAAGAAGACAAUCGCUGACUAGGUAUACAGACAAGGAUACAUACAAAGUUACAGUCUUGUCUCAUUGCUGCAACUCCCGUAUGGACUCGGGAGAGGCGAAACAUAACCCAACCAAGCCGCACUGCUUCUUGACACAAUGCCCACUUAACCCGGAAGCCAGUCACACCAAUGUAUUGGAGGAAACACCUGGCGACCGUGUCAGCGUGCACUGCGCCCAGCCUGACACAGGAGUCACUAGUGUUCGAUGGGACAAGGACAUCCCUGCCGGCCAAACCCUCCCCUAACCCGGACAACGCUGGGCUAAUUGUGUGCCGCGUCAUGGGUCUCCAAGUUGCGACCAGCUGUGACAGAGCGGCACAGCGACUCAGUGCCUUAAACCACUGCGCCAAGGUAAGCAAAUCAUCGACCAGAGCGUCAAGUGUGCACUCCGAGAGCGAAACAAGAUGGGUGGGGCUAAAGCUUAAGAGGGUGUGAAAGAUGCUGAAUGGUGUCGAAAAAGAAGAGUUCUUCACCAGAUACCAAAACAUUCAAAGGCCAUUUUUCUAAGUUGAUGAGAGAGAAACUACUUAAUCCAUUUUAGAAUAAGGCUGUAACGAAAUAUGCAAAAAGUCUGAAUACUUUCCGAGCCAGCACAUGGAGCCAGCACGUGGAGACUUGCAAGAUGAUGUGAUAAAGUCCAGACUGACAGACAGGAGAGAGGCCUGGCACUCAACAUAAAAUGUUUUACGGGACAACUUUUACUUGUAUUGUCUUUAUUAUUGAAUUGAAUGCUAUCAGUCAAGAUGGGGAGGGAGGAAGCCUGUGUAUUCUGCACUAAGUUCAGGGAACUCCUAUUGUAUCCAGGACAUGUCACAGGAAGGUAUGACCACUGCAUUGUUUGCCAAGGUAGGCCCAUUACCACCAGACAAAAUACCGUUAGGCACAGUAUCUGUAUCGGCAGGGAAUGACAAUGAAGGAUAAAAGGUUGACAUUGUUAUAUUAGCAGAACACUGCUUCUAUAGAAUAAACAAUCCUUUACAAAAUACUAUCAUGGACCUGUUACUACAUUUGAAAGUUAUCAAAACACUUAGUUUAGAAUAUCUACAUAAAUUAAUCAAUUGCAUUCUUUUCAUGUUACUCUGUAGGCUACUGACCUAUUUAACGCUUCCUCCGGCAUCUCACCGUACAUCUGCCUGUAGUUAUUGAACUCAAGCUGCAGGAAGUUUGUUUGUUGUGAUUGAGUGGGGGGAAACAGAGGCAAAUGCAGCAUCAUACAAUGCUUGUAGCUAUCUCCACUUAGGCUACUGAUAGUGGAUUGAGCAUAGUGCUCAACAUUGCCUGUGAAAGUGGGUUAAAAUAGCUAAUAUUCAAAAAUGUUAAACAAUAAGACAUGAUCACUUAAAGUAGGUAAUCAAAAAUAUGAAGUAGAUGUAAUGAAGAAUAAGAGUUUUGGAAUUGAUAAAUUAAGUUGGAUCCAAGCCAUUUUUUUUAGAUGCAGGACUUAUAGUGUUUGUGUCACGUCCUGACCAUAGUGAGGUCUUAUUUUCUAUGGUAGAGUAGGUCAGGGUGUGACUGUUUUUUUUAAAUUUAGUUCUAGUUUCUUUUUUCUAUGUUGGGAUUUUUGUAUGAUCCCCAAUUAGAGGCAGCUGGUCAUCGUUGUCUCUAAUUGGGGAUCAUAUUUAAGUAGUUUUUCCCACCUGUGUUUGUGGGAGAUUAUUUUGAGUUAGUGCAUGUUGCACCUCUUUCGUCACGGUUUGUGUUUU